GUGUAUCUGAAAUCAAGUGUGACGACCCGCUGAACUUAAGCAUAUCAAUAAGCGGAGGAAAAGAAUCAAAUGAGAUUUCCCU
rnacentral:rRNA from 1 species